rnacentral:rRNA from 1 species
AGAGUUUGAUCCUGGCUCAGAAUCAACGCUGGCGGCGUGCCUAACACAUGCAAGUCGCACGAGAAAGGGACUUCGGUCCUGAGUACAGUGGCGCACGGGUGAGUAACACGUGAAUCAUCUACCUUCGAGUGGGGAAUAACUGAGAGAAAUCUUAGCUAAUACCGCAUAAUACCUACGGGUCAAAGCAGCAAUGCGCUUGAAGAGGAGUUCGCGGCAGAUUAGUUAGUUGGCGGGGUAAUGGCCCACCAAGACGAUGAUCUGUAUCCGGCCUGAGAGGGCGCACGGACACACUGGAACUGAAACACGGUCCAGACUCCUACGGGAGGCAGCAGUGGGGAAUUUUGCGCAAUGGGGGAAACCCUGACGCAGCAACGCCGCGUGGAGGAUGAAAUCCCUUGGGAUGUAAA